AUUUAUUGCCUAAUUACCCCAAAGGCACCUGAUCUCAUCUGAUCUUGGACACUAAGCAGGGUCAGCCUUGGUUAGCAUUUGGAUGGGAGACUACCAACAAAUACUAGGUGCUGUAUAUU
rnacentral:rRNA from 1 species